UAAAAUUUUUGCAAAUUCAGUCACACUUAAUCAUAACCAAGACCUAUCUUCCUCUCUUGACCCCCCUUCUCACCGAAAAUCGCUCCGCCACGCUGAAAGCGGUGGGUCAACCCUGAUCCACCCAUAAUCACCACCAUACAAUUCGUUUUUGCCUCCUCUAAUCAACUCUCACCUUCAUUUUGUAUAAAACUCACUGAAUUGUCCCAAACCGCAAAAACACUUCAAGAACCCUAAGUCUCAAAAUUAAAAUUAAAUUAUGAUGAAGAAGAAUCAAAGUGUAAUACCUUGGGGAUUUGAUUCCCCACAUCCAAAGCUACAUCCUGGUAACUUAAAUGAAGAAAAAUAAGGAAGAAGAUCCUACCUACAAGGUUGUUGCUUUCCCUGGGAGUUAUUGAAUAUUGAAGAUGCUGAUGGAGCUAAGAAUACCAUAGGGAUGCUUUAGGCAUUACGAAGGAAUAUGGUCUUGGUCAUAAAAUGAUUUUUGGCAUGGGAUUAUCAAAGUUGACAUGUUGAACUCGAACUUGAAGAAGAUGAAGACUUGGAGCGAAAAAUGGAAUAUCAUGAGGAUGAAGAGGAAAUAAAUAGUUAUAGUGUUUAGUUUGACUUUGGUAAACUUUUUGACCAAAAUCAACAGCUGACCAAAAGUCAUCCUUAGGUCAAAUUUAAGAUUUCUUGUAUAGUUUGCAUCUUUUCCCCUUUUGUAAUGUAGUUUUGGAUUUUGAAUAUGAAUUUGACAUUGAAUGUACAACUUGUAGCUUAUUUUCCAAGAAAUGCACUUUUCUCUCUAUUUCCAUAA